GACGAACGCUGGCGGCGUGCCUAAUACAUGCAAGUCGAGCGAAGUUUUUCUGGUGCUUGCACCGGAAAAACUUAGCGGCGAACGGGUGAGUCACACGUAGAGAACCUGCCUUAUAGACUGGGACAACUAUUGGAAACGAUAGCUAAUACCGGAUAACAGCAUUAACUGCAUGGUUGAUGUUUGAAAGUUGGUUUUGCUAACACUAUGAGAUGGCUUUGCGGUGCAUUAGCUAGUUGGUGGGGUAAAGGCCUACCAAGGCGACGAUGCAUAGCCGACCUGAGAGGGUGAUCGGCCACACUGGGACUGAGACACGGCCCAGACUCCUACGGGAGGCAGCAGUAGGGAAUCUUCCGCAAUGGGCGAAAGCCUGACGGAGCAACGCCGCGUGAGUGAAGAAGGAUUUCGGUUCGUAAAGCUCUGUUGUUAGGGAAGAAUGAUUGUGUAGUAACUAUACACAGUAGAGACGGUACCUAACCAGAAAGCCACGGCUAACUACGUG
rnacentral:rRNA from 1 species